UUUUUUUUUUUUUUUUGUCCCCUGCACAAUGUGUCUUUUGUGAGGUUAAUGCCAUUCUGGGCUCUCGAUAGCCCUGGACAAUGGGAACUCUCCAGGAGCCUGCAGAGACUCUGGCUUUUUUCUUUCUUGAUUUUUUUUUUUUUUUUUUUUUUUAAGGAAAGGAUGAAACAUUCCUACAGUCCAAACACAACUUCUACUUUGAUUAAAUAAAUAUUUAUCUUUAUUGUAGCCAUUGUAUAUUUUUACCUUCAGUUUGUCCAGUUUCUGAUUAUUAUUUUAAAAUUUUCAUUGGCAACAGUUAAUCUUUUUUUUUUUUUUUCCCUUUCAGUCCCAAGUGCAGGUCAGUGUAAAAUGUAGCUGACUGAAGGAAGACUGGUAAAUUCUGAAUUUUUCCAUAACACGUCAGGAAUGGAUACAUACAUAUAUAAACACAAGGAUAUAUGCGUAACUGGAUACAUAUACAUCUGAAUGACUUUGGAUGUCUUUACGUGUGUGUGUGAAUCCGUAUGUGCACACAAAUAUACAAGGCGUACCUAAAUGCAGGUACAGUACAGAGCUCUGUGUUUUCUCUCUUCUCUCUCUCUCUCUCUCUUUCUCUCUCUCUCUUUCUCUCUCUCUCUCGCUGGGGCUUUUUUGUUUCCAAAUCUGUUUGAAGUUACUUUUUUGCAAAUAUAACAUGGAAGUGUUGGUUUAAUGAUGAAGAUGUGGAUGUUGAAUUGGAGUAAGAACCUGCUCCCCUGCGAUUCUCAGAAUCUGGGGUUGCAAUGUGAGCAGCUAUUAUUUGGUCCAAGGUGCGCUGGGCCAGCCUUAAGGGGAAGGGGAGGAGAAGAGGGUCUUAGGAGAUCUUACUUCCAAAGAGCCUAGCUCCUAGGCCCUGGGUUUUCUUCCUGCUGGGGGCUGGGGGAGGGGGGGGACACAAAAACAAAAAAGGGAAGAGAAAGAAAAAAGGAAACCCCGUGUGGAGCCUGGGGUGGUUGAAAGGACGCCUCUCGGUACAACUCGAGAGCUGGAUCCGAGAGAAGGGUGGCGGGGUGAAGAAUUGCGGAUCCCCUUUUAAAUGUGUAUUGUUAUUCUGAGCCCAUUGUAUGUACGUGUCGCUGCCCUUUCAUUUGCCAAGACAACGUAUGGAUUCCAUAAAUGCAGACAUGCCGGAGCGCAUCUGUCUGGCUGGUUAACACGA